rnacentral:rRNA from 1 species
UUCGUGCUCGAAAGAGAACCUGCACACAGGUGCUGCAUGGCUGUCGUCAGCUCGUGUCGUGAGAUGUUGGGUUAAGUCCCGCAACGAGCGCAACCCUUGCCAUCAGUUGCUACGAAAGGGCACUCUGAUGGGACUGCCGGUGACAAACCGGAGGAAGGUGGGGAUGACGUCAAGUCCUCAUGGCCCUUAUAGGUGGGGCUACACACGUCAUACAAUGGCCGGUACAAAGGGCAGCCAACCCGCGAGGGGGAGCCAAUCCCAUAAAGCCGGUCGUAGUCCGGAUCGCAGUCUGCAACUCGACUGCGUGAAGUCGGAAUCGCUAGUAAUCGUGGAUCAGCAUGUCACGGUGAAUACGUUCCCGGGUCUU